CGGGGUAUAUCUCAGUGGUAGAGUAUUCGACUGCAGAUCGAGAGGUCCCCGGUUAGAACCUGGGUGCCCCCU